rnacentral:tRNA from 2 species
GGGGUUGUAGCUCAGUUGGGAGAGCGCAUGACUGGCAGUCAUGAGGUCAGGGGUUCGAUCCCCCUCAGCUCCACCA